UACAGAGGGUGCGAGCGUUGUUCGGAAUUAUUGGGCGUAAAGCGCUUGUAGGCGGCACGUCAAGUCGCGUGUGAAAUCCCCAGGCUUAACCUGGGAAGUGCGCGCGAAACUGACGAGCUUGAGUGCCGGAGAGGGUCGCGGAAUUCCCGGUGUAGAGGUGAAAUUCGUAGAUAUCGGGAGGAACACCAGUGGCGAAGGCGGCGACCUGGACGGACACUGACGCUGAGACGCGAAAGCGUGGGGAGCAAACAGGAUUAAGAAACCC
rnacentral:rRNA from 1 species